GAUGAAGAACGUAGCGAAAUGCGAUACGUAAUGUGAAUUGCAGAAUUCAGUGAAUCAUCGAAUCUUUGAACGCAUAUUGCGCUCUCUGGUAUUCCGGAGAGCAUGCUUGUUUGAGUAUCAGUAAACACCUCAACUCCCUUUUCUUUUUUGAAAUUGGAGCUGGACUUGAGUGAUCCCAACGCUUUCUUCCAAGAAAGUGGCGGGUUGCUUGAAAUGCAGGUGCAGCUGAACUUUUCUCUGAGCUAUAAGCAUAUCUAUUUAGUCCGCCUAAAAAACAGAUUAUUACCUUUGCUGCAGCUAACAUAAAGGAGACUAGUUCUUGUGCUGACUGAUGCAGGAUUCACAGAGACAGCUUCGGCUGACUUUGUAAACUCGAUCUCAAAUCAAGUAAGACUACCCGCUGAACUUAAGCAUAUCAAUAAGCGGAGGA
rnacentral:misc_RNA from 1 species